ensembl:lncRNA
GCUAACUGUACCCACAGUGGAAUUUCACAAGCCUAAAUGUCAGGCCCUGGACAAGGCCCUGCCACACCAAAGGCUCCAGGGAAUGGCCAGGAGAUGUGUGUGACUCAGUAGCCACCUUGACAGAGAAGCCAAAGGCAGCUGGUGACUCAGCACAGGGAGCGCCUGCCAAAAGGCUAGGGGUCCUCGACCACUGACAAGGCCAGAGUCCGGACCUGGGGCAGCCACCCAGCUCCAGCCAGGCUCCCGGGGUCAGCCUGUGUGCAGUUCUCAGCCCUACACUGUGGAUGCGGCCAUACUAAUGUCUGCUGAAUGCUGAUACCUAUCGGGCCAGGCUCUGCUGCAACUACACCCUCAAGGAGCUGAUGGGGAACGUCAGCCCUCCCUUUUACAGGUAAGGAAACCAAGCUCAGGGAAACUUGCCUCAGCUCCUAGCUAAAAAGUGCCAAGGACUAGCUCCAGACCAGGUCCAGUGUAAUACUGAGCAGCAGGCCCCUCAGCACCAGGCCAGCUCUGCUAGCUGAAGGACAGCAUCAAAAUGGAACAAGUUCAAAGAAAACAAAAAGGAGACUGUAGCCAGGCUCUGGGACACUAGUCUGGGGACACAGCUGCUCACAGAUGAGGACCCGAGCCAAACAAGCUGCACAUGCACUAUCCCCUUGCUGUGGCCACCUCACAGGAGCCGUUCCACACCUAUGCACCGGACAGCAGGUGGAGGGUACCGUCUCUCAUGGAAUUGCCUGCCAUGGUCUCUGCCUGGGACCUGGGCAUUCCCGAGACCGAGCCCAUGCGCCCAACCUGGCUUGUGGGAGUGCUCCUCCUUGGAGCUCAGGCAAACCUGACUUCCUUCCACCCACCGUCUCUAUUGUGGGCAGCGGCUAUUCAACACCCUGAGACCCACAGCCACCUGGCCCAGAGGGUGGCUGCAGCUGAAUUCAGCCAGAGGACCCAUGGGUAAAUAAGAAAGCAAGCUGUGACCCUUGAGACCCAAAGGCUGUGAAAUGGACCCAGAAGCGCUGAUCUGAUCUUCGAGGAGGCUGGGAAAGCAGGGAGCAGAGGUCAAUCUGCGCUACACACCGCUGGCUCUGGGGGUCAUAGCAGCUCCCGGAGGGCACAGCUAUUCCCGGGGUGCUGGGCAGCCACCUCCAGCAACAUUCAGGGCUGGAGCGUUGGGGAAAGGAAGGAACAAUCCCUGCUCAGCAUUUUCCCAUCCUGCCCCUCACUGGAGACAGUCCAGGGGAAAAAAGAACAGAUGCCCAGGCAGGGCCUAGGACUCCUUCCAUGCCCAGGGCCAGGGUGCCAGGGAUGAAAUCCUUUCCCUACUCUCUGCAUGCCCCAUAUAAGACAGAAGACUUUUGCUAAGCCCCUCCUGUGUUCCUGACAUGGACAAAUAAGUGCCAAGAUAAAUACCAAGGAGCGCAAGUGCCAGGCAUGGCCGGCUAGGAGGAGAGCCUGUGUCGGGAGAAAGCCUGCUCCGUUCCCUCUGGGCCUUGGAGUGUUGCCCGAAUGACUUCUCGCCUCAAGGCUUCUAUUUUCGAAGGACUUAGGUGCAAUCUCUCUGAAAUGUUCACAAACGACUUCAACACAGAGGAAACUGACUGUCAAUCCUGAGAUGUCAACUUCAUCUGGAUAAGAAACACCUAGCAAGAUCUUGCUAAAUUGCCCAGGCUGGGCUCCAACUUGCAAUCCUCCUGCAUCAGCCUCUCAGAGUACUGGAAAUACAGGGAGAGAUAAUGAGAGCAAAAGCUUGGAGACUGCGAGAUCUGUAGCUACAGUCCCUUGAGCAAUCAUCUGUGUUACCUGAAGUUCAAGAAAUUCUACCCCAAACUUUGCAGUGGAUCCCUAUUGCUCCAAUAGAAGACAGAAGUCUUUGAGAGGUUGCAGCUUAGACACAGA